rnacentral:misc_RNA from 1 species
AAAUCUCUCAAUUUGACCUCUUUUUGGUUUGAAUUGGACUUGAGCUUUGCGAAGGAGUAUUUCUUUGCAAGCUUCAAAUAGAUUUCGCUUUGAAUAUCUUUGAAAUAAGCUUAAUAGUAUUGAUCUCGGUCAAUUCUUUGGCUCUUUUCAUAAAAAGAUAACCUCAAAGAGACUUACGAAUCAUAAUCAUCU